rnacentral:lncRNA from 1 species
UUUCCCCGGGACUGGCUGCGGAGGGACCUGAGCGUGAUCGGCUUCGGCCUCAUCGGGUGGAUCGGCCCGUCCAGCGUCCCCGUCAUCAACGGCAACAGCCUCACGGGCCUCUUCUUCUCCAGCAUCGGCGAGGAGCUCGCCCACUUCCCCACGCCCCCGCCAGUCACCUCCCAGUUCUGGUCAGGCUCAAGACCUCGCGCUCACGCUCUGCCUGGCCACUGUUUCUGACUUUCUGUACGGCAGCAGCAGCAUUUGAUGGGGCUUGUAACUGACAGACUCACACACGAAAUUGUUGCAGGCUGUGGAUGGUGACAUGGCACCUGGGCCUGUUCAUCGUGCUCACCUUCGGCCAGAUCGGCUUCAAGGGCAGGACCGAGGACUACUUCGAGAAGUGAAGCGGCUGAGCUCCAUCUGCUGAAGCGGCGUGCGUGCCGCAUCGAACCUUGCUUUGUAUAGGGCUCUGAUCUGGCUGAAUUCAUGUGUGGUGCUGCUUUUGUGAUGAGCUCAAUGUAAAUGAGUAAAUCUACCGUCCCCCUGCUGC